UAUUUCUUGCUGCUGGGUGCCUGCAUCGGGCUGAGGGGUCAGUGCAUCCUUCUGUGGCUCUUGGUGGCUCUUGGCUGGGAGAAUGCGAUGCCACCGCUUCCCAGUGGGAACCAAACUUUGAAACUGCAGCUGGAAAGCAGAUUGGGGUGGGAAAUGUUCAGUUGUUGGGUUUUCUAACGAAGGAUACUGGGCUGUGGGGAGGGAAAGGGGGACACGGGCAUCCUGGGCACAUACAACCAUUCGCACACUCCAGUAUCAGAAACAUUACGACCACAGGACCCAAAAGCAAUCAGGAUCCCACGGGACACAGGAGGGGGAACGCAAUGCCUCUAAUGGGAAAUGUGGUGAAAUAUUUACAUUCCCUCCUUCAAUAAAAAUAUAUCUCUUGAAGGAAGGAAGCUGCACUUGUGCGCAAUCCCCCCCACUGCUCCCCAUCCCCAGGGGAAGGGGUUCACCUCCCCACAACCCACAGCAGGAACACACCUGCGCUUCCAGCGAGGGUAGGAAACUGCUAAUGGCUCUGUUAAUUAAUAGCUGACCCUUUGUUUACAUCUCCCAUUAAUGGAAGAUAAAUGUUUUCCUUAUCCCGGACAUGAGCUCAAGGAGUCUGAAGCUGGGACACGGAGCAAAGGGCGUUUCCAAUCAAUUAAUAACAUCAGAGCAUUAUCGCCAGCAGAGCGUUAUGCGUGGGAGAUGAGAGCAGUGUCUUGGGCAGGGGAUUUGGGAAGGGGCUUUUGACUUUAGGAUUUGCCACUGAAAAUAAGGCAGGGAGCAGCAGAAGGGGGUAACAGCGCAGUCCCUGCAGCGGGGUGAGCCUUGGCUGUGAUUUAAGGAUCUUUUAGGGCUUGGGUUCCCUUGAAAACACUGCACGUGGGGGUCGUGGAGGAUAUGAAGCUCCUGAACCAUUCGGGGAAAAGCAGUGUUUCAGGUGUUUGCCAACACUUCUGCAAAAUGCCCAUUGGAGGGGGAAGUGUCUGCUACCCCCCUGUGCUUCUGACCACUUUCCGCUGGGGAAAUGGGGCCUCUGGAGGGGACUGGUCCUGUCCCUGGGGGAUGCAGGGGGGCAUUGGGGGGUAGCAAGUUGAGGGGAGGAUGCUGAAGGGGGCCAGGAAGGAGCAGGAAGCUGGGUGUGAGGAUGGAGGGCCAAUGGGGGGUGAGGAUGGAAGGGAGGGGGCCUGGGGGUCAUUCUGGGGGGAGCUUGGGGGAUGCUGGAGGGGAAGCAGGGUGAUACUGGAAAGGGAGUUAUGAUGGUGGGGAGUCAGGGAGUGAUACUGGAGGGGAAUUUCGGUGAUGCUGGAGGUGGGAGUGAUGCUGGAGGGGAAUUGGGGGUGAUGCUGUGGGGAUGAUGCUGGAGGUGGGGGUGAUGCUGGAGGGGAAUUGGGGGUGAUGCUGUGGGGGUGAUGCUGGAGGCGGGGGUGAUGCUGUGGGGGUGAUGCUGGAGGUGGGAGUGAUGCUGGAGGGGAAUUGGGGGUGACGCUGUGGGGGUGAUGCUGGAGGUGGGGGUGAUGCUGUGGGGAUGAUGCUGGGAAAGGGGUAAUGCUGGGGUGGAAUUGAGGUGAUACUGGAGAGGGUUAGUGAUGCUGGAGGUGGAGGUGAUGCUACAGAGGGGGCGAUGCUGGGGGCAGAAUUGGGGGUGAUGCUGGAGAGGAAGUGGUGCUGGGGGGGAAUUGAGGGUGAUGCUGCAGAGGGGAUGAUGCUGAGGGGGGUGAUGCCUUACGGGUGAAGCUGGAGGGAGCGGGGGUGGGUGCUGUCUGAGUGCUGCGGGGCUGCUGCUGAAAGGGUGGGGGGCAGGAAGGGAAUUGUUGGGGGCAGCACAGAGAUGCGGGGGUGAUGAUGGUGGGGGCCUCGGGGGCCGAUGCUGGGGAGCAUCGUGGCCGCGCCGAAGGGGAUCUAUGCGGGGGGACCCCGGGAGGAGGAGGGGAGGCUGUCAG
ensembl:lncRNA